rnacentral:rRNA from 1 species
GGGAGCGCACAACCGGUGGAGCAUGUGGUUUAAUUCGAUACAAAGCGAAAAACCUUACCUGGGUUUGACAUGUAACUGCACGGUCUAGGAAACUAGAUCUUCUUCGAGAGUGUUACACAGGUGUUGCAUGGCUGUCGUCAGCUCGUGUCGUGAGGCGUCCACUUAAGUGUGGUAACGAGCGCAACCCUUAUCCCGUGUUACAAGUGUCACGGGAGACUGCCUUGCUUUUUGCAGGGAGGAAGGAGAGGAUGACGUCAAGUCAGCACGACCCUUACAUCCAGGGCGACACACAUCCUACAAUGGAGCCGACAACGGGUAGCGAAGCCGCAAGGUGGAGCCAAUCCUUUAAACGGCCCCUCAGUUCAGAUUGUUCUCUGCAAUUCGAGAGCAUGAAGUCGGAAUCGGUAGUAAUCGCAAAUCAGCAGGUUGCGGUGAAUACGUUCUCGCUCCUU